UACUCAUGAAAAAAGCUGUAUGUUUGUGCAUUAAAAGGAAUUAUCGCCUCUUCUUUACUUCUGUAACAUAUCCUCAAAGUAAGUCAGACAACUGAUGAUUGUUAGUCACUAACAAUCGUGGUGAUAAACAAUCAUGAGUGAGCAUCAGAAAUUCUAGGCUGUAAGUUCAAUGUUUCUUCAUACUGAUGAUAAAGACAAUUUCUCAUCUUCUAAAUGAAGUAUUUAUUUCACGACUAUCUCAUGCCGGUCGCCGUCAUAUGGAUGGUCUUAAUACUAAACGUAGCUAUUUAUGGUAGUUUGCACAUCUCUGUGUAAAUCACUGUGGAGGCUACGAGGAUAAUUUGUUUACAGCUAUUUCCCCAUGAUACAGGUCAUAGGCUAAGUAUUGGCCAGUGGAAAUAGGUUGUAGGAGAUUUAGGGAAUUAUUUCUGCUUUGAACAUGCUGUAAUAUUUAUUUAAAUGGCUCGUGCUUAGAAAUGUAUAGCAAUUUCAAAGAAACUAAAGAUUUUUCUCCAAAACAUUAUACUUUUAUUCUUAUAACAACCUCCCAGUUUUGCUUCAUGAAUAUUUAGUUCUGUAUAUCUGGAGUGAGUAACUAAGGAAGGUGGGAUUAGGACUUGAUCCAACAAAUUACGUUUGUAGCGUAGUGACAUAGAUUUUUAUCAUAGUGAAUAUAAUAUUGUGUACUAAAGAUUACUAUGUACAAAAUACUGAUGUAUGUAUUGAAGGGCAUCUGACAUGCUCUUGUGGCUGUAUUUUUUUCAUGGUGGGGGCAGACCGCAUUACGAUGAGGCCGCUUCUCACCAUAACUGUACUUUUUCUGCAAAGAGUAGGUGAAUGUGCCUUGUAAUGUAUUACAUCUGCACAACAUUAUGAUGUAUAAGGGAUGAAGUGUCUGGAGGCCCCUGGAUCAGAAGAAACUCUCUACUCUUCUUGAGGACCAGCAGCCAUCAGAUACAAAAAGAUAUAGACAUAAUUUUAAAAACCAACUUAGUGGAUCACUGAGGUGUCUUGUCAUUCCGCGAAGCACGUUGAUGACAGCAGCUGCUUUGAGCGUCUGGUGAAAGUGGAAGAAAGCAGGGAGGUGAGGGCACUGAACACAGAAAGGCCCUGCCACCUGGUGGGGAAGCAGGGCUGGAGACGCACUUCUGCAUAGAGAGGAGGUGGCUGUACUUCACUGCGUCUCUACUGCUGGCACAGAGACACAGAGCUGUCUGGUUCUUUUUCGUCGAUGUCACAGUGAGAGGAAAGAAUGGCCUCUUGCCUCGAGAGACACUGUAGCCUUCAGGUAUUUUGGGGUCUGAGUGAUUCUACCAUCUGCUGUGCCUAUAGAAGAAAGAGAGGCUCUAGAAACACAGCCCAGGAGGGUGCCUGAUGCUGCUGUCAUGGGUAGAAGGACUUAGAUCUGGAGCUUAGCACCUUUGGGACAGGAAUUUGCUCCCUGACCCCAGGACUCACCUGCUCCGAGGAGACAAAGAGCCACACAGCAGAUCACCUGGUGACCCAUGAUGGGAGAGGGGGCUCCCUGGAGUGCUAAGCACCUGUUGGAAGACAAAUGACGGUAGAAACUUAGCUCUGGGGAUCCCCCUGGCUUAAAAUGCGGAAGUUGUCAGAAGGCUGGAAUGGAUAACUGGAAAGGAUCCCACAGGUGUUCUGGGUUCUGGGUGACGCCAGCAUUCAUGGGAC